rfam:Echinostoma caproni strain Egypt genome assembly, scaffold: ECPE_scaffold0014239
GUCUGGGUGUCAAAGCGGUCCAAGGCGCCAGACUCAAGACAAAUCUUCUGGAUGUUCUGGUCCAUGAAUGUGGGCGUGGGUUCGAGUCCCACCUCUGACG